UAGGUGUACGAAGCGAACCCGGAGAACUGAAACAUCUAAGUACCCGGAGGAAAAGAAAUCAACCGAGAUUCCCUUAGUAGCGGCGAGCGAAAGGGGAUUAGCCUGUAAGUGAUAGUAGAAGUGUUAGUGGAACAGUCUGGAAAGUCUGGCGAUACAGGGUGAUAGCCCCGUACACGAAAACUCUUUUAUGGUACUAAGCUUACGACAAGUAAGUCGGGACACGAGUUAUCUUGACUGAACAUGGGGGGACCAUCCUCCAAGGCUAAAUACUACCAACUGACCGAUAGUGAACUAGUACCGUGAGGGAAAGGCGAAAAGAACCCCGGAGAGGGGAGUGAAAUAGAACCUGAAACCGUAUGCGUACAAGCAGUAGGAGCAGACUUGUUCUGUGACUGCGUACCUUUUGUAUAAUGGGUCAGCGACUUAUUUUCAGUGGCAAGGUUAACCGAAUAGGGGAGCCGUAGGGAAACCGAGUCUUAAUAGGGCGUCUUAGUCGCUGGGAAUAGACCCGAAACCGGGCGAUCUAUCCAUGGCCAGGUUGAAGGUGCCGUAACAGGCACUGGAGGACCGAACCCACUAAUGUUGAAAAAUUAGGGGAUGAGCUGUGGAUCGGAGUGAAAGGCUAAUCAAGCCCGGAGAUAGCUGGUUCUCCUCGA
rnacentral:rRNA from 1 species